rnacentral:rRNA from 1 species
GAUGAACGCUGGCGGCGUGCCUAAUACAUGCAAGUCGAGCGAAAAGAUGAGGCGCUCGCUUCUCUGACGUUAGCGGCGGACGGGUGAGUAACACGUGGAUAACCUACCUAUAAGACUUGGAUAACUACGAGAAACCGGAGCUAAUCAUGGAUAAUCUAUUGAACCGCAUGGUUCAAUAGUGAAAUACGGUUUUGAUGACACGUAUAGAUGGAUCCGCGCCGCAUUAGCUAGUAGGGCAGGUAACGGCUUACCAAGGCAACGAUGCGUAGACGACGUGAGAAGGUGAGCGGCCACACUGUAACUGGAAAGCGGUCCAGGAUCCUACGGGUAGCAACGGAAGGGAAUCUUCCGCAAUGGACUGAAGGCUGGCCGAGCAACGCCACGUCAGUGCUGAAGAUCUUCGGCUCGUAAAACUCUGUUGUUAUGAAAGAACAAAUGUGUAAGUAACUAUGCACGUGUUGACGGUACCGAAUCAGAAAGGCACGGCUAACUACGUG